rnacentral:rRNA from 1 species
GACGAACGCUGGCGGCGUGCUUAACACAUGCAAGUCGAACGGUGAAGCGCUUGCCUUUUUGGUGGGUGUGGAUGAGUGGCGAACGGGUGAGUAACACGUGAGUAACCUGCCCUCUUCUUCUGGAUAACCUCAUGAAAGUGGGGCUAAUACGGGGUAUUCCGGGUCUGUCGCAUGGCGGGUUUGGGAAAGAUUGCGCCUUUGGGUGUUUUCGGUGGGGGAUGGGCUCGCGGCCUAUCAGCUUGUUGGUGGGGUGAUGGCCUACCAAGGCGGUGACGGGUAGCCGGCCUGAGAGGGUGGACGGCCACACUGGGACUGAGACACGGCCCAGACUCCUGCGGGAGGCAGCAGUGGGGAAUAUUGCACAAUGGGCGCAAGCCUGAUGCAGCGACGCCGCGUGAGGGAUGGAGGCCUUCGGGUUGUGAACCUCUUUCGCCAGUGAAGCAGGCCUGCUCCUGUGUGGGUGGGUUGACGGUAGCUGGAUAAGAAACGCCGGCUAACUACGUG